UAAGAGUGUAACAAAUACAUGUCAUAGCUAAACUAAAUAUAGCUAAAUAUGUCAGAAUCCACUUGGAAUAGAGGCUCAGACCGUAUCUUAGCAGCCAGCGUAUCAAACUGGAAACAUCUUUCAAGUGCGAGUCUAUCAAACUAACAUUUUGAGCAAGUCAAGAAACAAAAAGGGAUCUGAAAUGCAACAUGAUGUUUGCUUUGUAUUAUGUUCUAAAAGUGUUUUCUGUGUUUUCUGUAGAUAUAAUCCAACAACUGGGUUUUCUUGCUUAAAUGCAAAUCAAGGAGGAGGGGUUUGAGCUGAUUAUAUGGUGCGCUUCACCUGCCCAGAGGAUUGGUGUUCAAAAUGUAGGAUACCUUGGUAUGACUGAGAUGACCCCAGUGGACUAGGAGACAAUGAGAAGCUGCUGUUACUCCUGAUAAGAUACCCACUGCAGGUCUGCGCUCAGCCCAUCGCCAUUGAGGUCACAACCAUUAGUGGGACUCCUUCACUGCCACCUGGAAACAAUUUUCAAGUAUAUGACCCAUCUGUAACGGUGCUGAUGAGACGUGAGACGUGCAGAUCCAUGUGCAAGCUUUUAUUGGACAGAGAUGUUGUCCUAGCAGGCAUGGGUCAAACAAUGGCAAACAGGUAUAUAGAGGGCAAGACACAAGAAUAAUACUAGGGCAAGCAUGGGUCUUCGAUGAGCGAACAAUAUCCAGAGGGGAAGACAAGAGGGGUAAUCCAGUAACCAGAGCAAACGGGUCUAAACACGAGAAGGAGGGCAUGGCAAGGAAAAGAUUAGAUUAUGAGAACAAUAAACUGACUCAAAACUAUGAAAACUAGACACUGAAACAAGACUAUGAAAACUAGAAACUAAGACUAAGACUAUGAAAACAAACACGGAAUGGCUUGGUAUUGACGCUAUCGCAAGGAGAGGGAUAUAUGCAGAACAAUACUCGGCAGUGUGUGAGAGGAAGUCCAAUGCUUAUAAAGUGUGUCUGCUGAUUGUGCUGUGCAUGUGUAAUUGGUGGCAGCUGUGUGUGAUAGUUUUCAGGUGAAUGUGAUUGGUGCAAUGUAGUCCAGGGUAUACUGUGUAAUGUGAGAGUCUGUGUUGUGGACGAUGACCUCUAGUGGUGAAUUAACGGAAGUUCAGUGACCGGAUCAUGACACCGUUAAAGAGCUUUGAGUGUGUGAAUGGGGCCUGUCAAGACUACAGGGUUCGCUUCACAUGUCCAUUAAGUUUCUGCAACACAAUGUAUGUAACCAGGCGGUUUGAUUCGGAUAACCCUGAAACAAAUGGAAGCGAUUCUGAACUCUUGUCUGGCCUUUUUCAGUACGUACCCUGGUUACAUUUGCCCAAAUCCAAUCGGAAUAGAAGUUCAGACCAUCUCUGGCCAGCCAGCGUAUCAAAUUGGAGACAUCUUUCAAGUGUAUGAUCCAGUCUUUGGGGUUGCUUGUGUAAAUGCAGACCAAACAGGAGGAAGACAUUUAUUGAAUUCUUUUGAUUUUUCUAUUGCUCCCACUCACAAGGGUGGCCAUAUACUUGACUUAGUGCUUCUACAUUGACUUAGUAUCACUGCUAUAGAAGUCUGUGAAAAUGGGCUCUCUGACCAUAAGACUGUUUACUGUCUCAUGUUCUGCUGCUGCAAAUAUUGUCCCACUUUGUGGCCGCUUUUCUCGGCGUAUUACCCAGACUACUAAAGACAUACAAGACUCAUUUUUUCAACAAUUUUUCAUGCAGUGAUGCCAUCUACUGCCAAUUUUUCCUGUGAUGCUAGUUUUGAGAUUCUCCUCUCCUGGUUUAAUUUCACCUGUUCUAAUGUUUUAAAUGCUGUGGCUCCUUUAAGGACUCUUCAGUCUAAAACUUGUUCUGAACCCUGGAUUGAUGAUUCCAUUUGUUCUCAGACAAUGUUGUAGAAGAGCAUAACGAAAGUGGAAAAAGGAUACGCUUCAUGUUUCUUUUGAGAUUUUAGAAGACACUCUUUUUAAAUAUAAGAAAGCAGUGAAAAAAGCUAAAGUUUGAUAUUUGUCAAAUAUUAUUGAUAAGAACUGCUCUAGACCAAAGACUCUUUUUAAUAUUAUUAAUGCUACUCUCAACCCGUCGGCCUGUCUUGUUCCUGGUGUUUCUUCUCCAUCAUGUGAAGAAUUUGUUUUUUUUUUUUGAUAAUAAAAUUUGGGAUCUCCGGUUGGGGA
ensembl:lncRNA